UCUGCCCCUGGAGGAGUUGCAGAUGUGACUGUUAGGUCACAUGUGCUUCAGUAGGUGGCAGAGAGGAAAGGAGUUAUGCCUACACUCAGUGUUCUGACCUAUGAACACCUGAAUUAGUAAUCUAAUAUU